rnacentral:rRNA from 1 species
UACGUGGGGUGCAAGCGUUAUCCGGAUUUAUUGGGCGUAAAGAGUUCGUAGGCGUCUUAUCAAGUUUUGCUUGAAAUCCCAAGGCUUAACCUUGGAACUGGGUGAAAUACUGGUAAGAUCGAGUCUGUUAGGGGGUACUGGAACUCACGGUGUAGCAGUGAAAUGCGUUGAUAUCGUGAGGAACACCAAGGGCGAAGGCAGGUACCUGGGACAUGACUGACGCUGAGGAACGAAAGCUAGGGGAGCGAAAGGG